ensembl:snRNA U7 U7 small nuclear RNA
AAAUGUUACAACUCUUUUACAAUUUGUAUAGCAGGUUUUCUGGUCUUCAUGGAAGAACCCCC